UUCAAUUCUUUUAAUAAUGAUCUCACAAGGAGCCAACACAGACACAGGGUGAUGCUGUUAGAAGAACAGGAUUGUACCAGAGUUUGAAAAAUUAAAUUCUUAAAAAGCCACCGUGCUCUCUUGUCAAAAUAGCACUUAAAUGUAUGCAGUGUUUAGAGAUGAGGCAAGCUCACUGAGUUUAUUUUAGUCGCUUGAAUUAUAUUGCUGUGUGUCUUCACCAUGCUUCUUCAGUCUUCGCAUUGGAAGCUUUCCGGGGAGGGUCAGCGACCGCCACUGAGCCCUCCACUGGCUUAUUGGCUGAGCUCAUUGAUGAGGAAGCCUUGAGUUCGUCACUUUCUGUCCUCUAAUUGCUGAGGUGGCCAUCACUGAAGAUGACAGAGCAUUUCUGAAGGACACAUGGGAGUCAUUAACCAGCCUAAUAAAAUGAUCUAUUUAUUGGCAAUGGGUCCAACUAUCUGUGCCAGACUAGAACCAGAGGACAUUCACUGGCUGCUUCCUCCAGCAGGCCUGUCCAUUCCCACAAGUUGUUCAAGCACCCUGAGGCUUUCCUCCUGCAAAGUGGCCAAUCCUGCUUCCAAAUGCCUCCUGGAGAGAGACAAGAAUCUGAUUAGUCUACUAGGAGUCCUGUUCUCAGCGUCUGUUGCUCCUGCUUGCCAUAAUAUGACUGUUGAAAGCUGCAAAUUUAAUAAGCAGUGAAUAGCAUCUCAAAAUAAGGUUGGGGACAAAAGGGUUGACUGGUUUCGUGAAAAAGAAGAGUAAAGAUUAUUUUAUUUAUCUUCAGACAUCUUUGAAGAAUGUAUACCACAAAACUGAACAUACCCUCUAUCUACACAGCGCCAUAGUCUUUCAGAAUAAACAAAGAAUGAAUCAACUCUUGAUCUAGCAGAGGAACAAUUUUUCUAACAAAGGUAUUUUGCAACAAAAUUUGACACCCUUCGCUUUGUACUUUUAUAGCUGAAGAGUGGGGUCAUUCGCAAGAAGAUGUUUCCUAUGUUUUCCUAAGAGCCUCUUCUAGUCCUUUGAGAUUCAAGCAAGUCUCCUUUUGAAGCAUGUACUCUGCUACAUCGCGCUGUUUUUCUCAUUGUGAGAGGACCCAGCACCGCCAGACGCUCAUUUGCUUAUGAAACGCUUGUCCAGAAUCACUUCCAGUGGCUUCAUAACAUCCUGCAUCUUCUGCAAGAUUAGCAACUUUGCACCGCAACUGAAAUGCAUUUUAUUUACAUUGUAUUGUGGGGCGUCUAUAACAUCUGCAGUCAGCAAAAUUGACUGGUGGAUGGGGAGAGAUGUUGGAGUUAAGUCAGGGGGCCCAUUUAAGUGGAGACUGAUUUAGUAAGUGGUCAGUUCGUUACUGGAUAUUUUCCUGUUAGGGCUAAUUUCUGCUUCCUUACAAAACUUAGCAACUACUGGGAUUCAGGUAAUGCUAAGGAAUAGUUGGAUAACAAGGAAGUUCCACACUCUGCAUCAGUGACAAGGAAUGCAGUGUGUGUGCACAUGAAAAGCCAUCUACAAUGUAUUGUUAGGGGAAAAAAGCCAACUCCAAAUGAAUGUAUAACCGUGUGUUUAUGGACAGUAGCAAAGCAUUAAAAUGUAGCUUGUAAGCUAGCCCGAAAGAUGGCAAAGGAGUAGUAGUCACAUGGAGGGGUGUGGCAGAGGAGAGCCUGACAGAGUAGCCUCGUUUUUUAAUGAGCUUUUAAAUUUUACAAUAUGAUAAAAGUCAGUUAAGAGUAUUCUUUUCAGGGGCUGGGGAUUUAGCUCAGUGGUAGAGCGCUUACCUAGGAAGCGCAAGGCCCUGGGUUCGGUCCCCAGCUCCGAAAAAAAAAGAACCAAAAAAAAAAGAGUAUUCUUUUCAAUGGUUCAUCUGAGGGAGGGCCAGAGAGAGGGGGAGGGGGAGGAGGAGGAGAAGGAGGAGGGGGAGGAGUAAGAGGUGGGGGAGGGAAGGAGGAAGGGCAAGGGGGAGGGGAAGAAAAAGAAGAACAAAAACAAAAAGGCAAAAAAAAAAAAAUAAGAAAAGGAUGCAAGCAGGUCAUGUCAGAGUUCAAACAAGGGAUCCCUCCAUUUCACAGGCAUGUAACUUGUUUCAUUCUGAGGUCUGCAAAGCUCCUUUCCAAAUUAGUUAAGCCACAGACAUUUGGUGAUGCACUGUCAUUUUCAAGGUACUGUGUACAUUGCAGAGUACUGCUCAAAGGGACUCAGGGACUGUAAGACUCAGGUUCUGUGGAGGCAUUGGUAUGUGGAGGAGGAGUGGGCAGGGUGCAAGAGUUGGGUCAAGGUGUGCAGAGCCCAGAAAUCUCUUCCUGAGAUUGCAGAAGUAGUAUGCUUCCCCUGCCCUGGGCCUGCUUAUCCAGUAGCUGUGCCCCCACUUUUGCCCCCCCCAGAAGAUUAUGUAUCCUGGAAGCCAGAUUAAACUUCUUUUCCUCUUAUAACCUUGAAUCCCUCCUUAUACAAAUGAGACAUUCCUACUGCCCUGGCCCUGGCCAAUGUUGUACACUCACCCUGAAAGCUCCUACCCAUCCCCCAGAGAUUUAAGUAGCCUUUGUGCCCCCCAUUAAACAAGCUGUCUCACUGAAGCUCUCUCCUGAGAGUCUGUUCUAGUGUGAUCACAGACACCCUAAGUUUCUUCUCAUCCCAGCUACUCCCUGCUUACCCUCUCGAGAUCCACAGAUCCCAUCUCAGGUUGACAGCACCUCUACAGGUAGGGAAGCAGGGCCAGACCCGCAGCCCUUCUUCAGAGAUCUUAGACCUAGCUGGGGUAAGAUCUGCACUCCCAGGAUCUAGCACCAGGUGCAUCUGUGAAUGUGGAGGAAGUAAACCUGGUGACCUCUGGAUCUUGGUUCCGCCUCAGACUCUGCUGGUCCAAGCACGAGACGAGCGUCCUCACAGAGUGAAGAUGAGAUCCUUCAUCUCCCACAGGAAGAGAAAUCCAGAGUCCCAUCUAGAUGCUACAAGAGCUUCAGGAGGCUUUGAAUAGCGACAGUGAACGUGGACGCGUGUUAGUGUUCCUACCUCUGCCCUAUCUCAGGGAUGAGAAACUUGAGAGUAAACUAGUGCUGCUCUAUUGCUGAGGACAGAAUCGGGAUUUGAAUCUAGAACCUCUGCCUGCAGAGCACGCGCUCUUUCUUAGUUUGCUAUGGUCUACCCAUUUGUCAAGUAGAUCAGGGGUGAUCCUCCCAUGGUCUUUCUGCAAGGCAGUUUAGCCCAGGAGAAAAGAGGAAGCCAGCUGUGGGAACAGAACUGGGAGAAAGGUAAUAUGGGCACCACCCAUGAACUCUCCAUAGGCUUCCGGGACGAGAGUUUGCCAAGACUGCUGUGCACUCAGGUCUUCCUGCUACUCCUGGAAAUGACCCCUGUAGGGCAGAGUUAAAGAGAUUAACUGGGUAACGUGGUCUCUAUUAACCAGCAAGCAACCAGAGAUGUGGGAUUCCUCACUUAGCUGUAACAAAUGGCUUUCUAGAAGUUACCAUUGUAGAAACCUCAAUGGUGGGCUCACUGUGUAUGCUGUAUUCACAUGAAAGACAAAGUGUUUAUGUGCACUAAUCAACACACAACUGUGGCCAUGUCGCAUGCUGAACCCGUGGCACUCCCUUGUGCAAGUUAUUCUUUACAUGUUCAGUAAUCCAAGGGGAGUGUGCUUGCCCUGCUUCGUAACCUAACUUAGAUCUGUGAUCCAUUCCAGAAGAGAAACAUUAUAAAGUGGUCAUUUAAACAUUCUUUUUUUUUCAUUAAUAUGUUACAUGUGCUAGUUCAUGGGAGACACACUUUAGCUUAAAAAGUGGUUUGAGUUCACCACUGUGGUGAAAAACAGAAUAAGUUAUCUGUCACUUGGCUUUUUGAGGAUGAAAAUAAACUGCUUCUUGGACGUGCUCAAUAUUUUUUUUUUGUUGUUUGAGAAUUUUGCAAAUGCAUAGAAAGGGUUCUGAUCUCCCCCCCACCCAGCCCCUCCCUCCUCCCCUCCCCCACCCUCUUCUCCUUCCCCUCCCCCACCCCUCCCCUGUUUUUCUUAUGUUUCUCUUUCAACUCCAUGUGCUCCAUGUGUUGCCUACAUGUAGACACAUGAAGUGGAGCAUGGGCAGCCUCUCCGGGGCCUCAUCACCGAACGCCUCCCUCCCUUGUUCAACACCAGUAGCUCCUCCAUUAGGGCCAGAACUUUAUGAACCUGUCCCGCGUUGUCUUAGCUCGGGUCCUAUGCCCGUGAAGGCAACCCAUGACCACGGCAACUCUUAUAAAGGAGAACUUUUAAUUGGAGCUGGCUUACAUUUCAGAGGUUUAGUUCAUUAACGCUGGAGAAGGAGCUGUGAGUGCUACACGUGGAUCAGCAGGCAGCAGGAAGAGAGUAGCACUGGGCCUGGCUUGAGCUUCUAAAACCUCAAAGCCUGCCCUCAAUGGCACACUUCCUCAAUCAACACCUCACCUACUCCAACAAGACCACGCCUCCUUAUAGUGUCACUCCCUAUGGGCCUACGGGGGCCAUUUUCAUUCAAAUCACUAGACCCUUCCACGCCUGGAAUUUGGGUGGUUUGCUCUUGUACAGGUGUCACAGCUGCUGUGGGUUCAUGGUUCACUGUGCCUCACAGCCAGUGAAUACAUCUUCACAGCAGACAGCUCCUAUCACCUGCUCUUCUGAUCUUUCUACCUUCCCUUCUGAUAUGAUCCCUGAGCUUUGGGGAGAGUAAAUACGAUAUAAAUGCCCCCAUUUAGAACCUGAACACCGCAGUCUCUCAUUCUCUGUACAAUGGCCAGCUCUGGGUCUUUGGAGGUAGGUACAUGGAAUAAUAAAAAUACUCUCCUUUAGAGAAAGCUCCUUGCAUUUACUGUUUAGAAAGGUUUUUUAAAAAUGUCCUCAACAUGCGUGAAAAUAAUUGUGUAUAUUGAGUACAAAUUCUUUUACUUCUUUGUCUCUUUUUAUAUCUGAGAAUGUAAGGACAUAGCUUUGGACUCCAUGAUGUUUUAGAGACAACCCAAGGGUUUGCGUGAAAUGAUAACUCACAGGUUAGAAGCGUUUAGGAUCCUAAGCAUUAUUGUCUAAGAACAAUGUUUGAUUAAUGUCUAGCCUAGUCAGCCACUUGAUAUAGUCUUAAAAAUAAAACAAACGAGUUCACUACUGUACUACCUCUAGUACCAAAAAAUGGUGGCAUUUAUUAAUAUGCAUGAUUAUAUUUAGAUAACUGUGUAAUUAUGGACACAUUUAAGCUACAAUUAGAUGUAUGAAGUUGAUGGCCUCUGAAUACAUUUGUACAUUUGAAGAUUCUGCAUAUACUUACAUUUAUCUGCAGCAUGGUAUACCUUCUUUGAACAGAAGCAUCAAGGUACCUUUUACAUGUUAGUUAGAAAGACAUUAAAAAACUGUAUUAAAUUACUAAGAUCUUUUAGAGGAGCCAGCACCAUGGUAAGCUGACUGUCUUGUGUAACUGCCAGAGUCUGAAAUUAUUAUUUUGUAAUAAAAGCUCUCUUGGGUCAGUGAG